rnacentral:rRNA from 1 species
CCUACGGGUGGCAGCAGUGAGGAAUAUUGGUCAAUGGACGAGAGUCUGAACCAGCCAAGUAGCGUGAAGGAUGACUGCCCUAUGGGUUGUAAACUUCUUUUAUAUGGGAAUAAAAUGUUCCACGUGUGGGAUUUUGUAUGUACCAUAUGAAUAAGGAUCGGCUAACUCCGUGCCAGCAGCCGCGGUAAUACGGAGGAUGCGAGCGUUAUCCGGAUUUAUUGGGUUUAAAGGGUGCGUAGGCGGAAUGCCAAGUCAGCGGUAAAAUCGCGGGGCUCAACCUCGCUCCGCCGUUGAUACUGGCGUUCUUGAGUGGGCGAGAAGUAUGCGGAAUGCGUCGUGUAGCGGUGAAAUGCUUAGAUAUGACGAAGAACCCCGAUUGCGAAGGCAGCUUGCUGCAGCGGAACUGACGCUGAUGCUCGAAAGCGCGGGUAUCGAACAGGAUUAGAUACCCUUGUAGU